rnacentral:tRNA from 1 species
AAGAUUUUAAGUUAAUUUUAAACUAGUAACCUUCAAAGUUAAAAAUGCUUUAAGAGUAAA